rnacentral:rRNA from 1 species
AUUGAACGCUGGCGGCAGGCCUAACACAUGCAAGUCGAGCGGGAACUUCGGUUCUAGCGGCGGACGGGUGAGUAAUGCGUAGGAAGCUACCCGACAGAGGGGGAUACCAGUUGGAAACGACUGUUAAUACCGCAUAAUGUCUACGGACCAAAGUGUGGGACCUUCGGGCCACAUGCUGUCGGAUGCGCCUACGUGGGAUUAGCUAGUUGGUGAGGUAAUGGCUCACCAAGGCGACGAUCCCUAGCUGGUUUGAGAGGAUGAUCAGCCACACUGGAGCUGAGACACGGUCCAGACUCCUACGGGAGGUAGCAGUGGGGAAUAUUGGACAAUGGGCGCAAGCCUGAUCCAGCCAUGCCGCGUGUGUGAAGAAGGCCUUCGGGUUGUAAAGCACUUUCAGUAGGGAGGAAGGAGUUGUCGUUAAUAGCUGCAACUUUUGACGUUACCUACAGAAGAAGCACCGGCUAACUCUGUGCCAGCAGCCGCCGUAACAC